rfam:Myotis brandtii contig235158, whole genome shotgun sequence.
UGCGGUUCUCAGGUGAUGCACCUGGAACCAGAGAAGAGGGAGCCUGAUUCCAGGGUGUGUCACCUGGGAACCGCU